rnacentral:tRNA from 1 species
AUGUAGCUUAGUGGUAGAGCAUUUGCCUUGCAUUCAGGAGUCCUUGGGUUCAAUCCCCAGUGU